AUUUUUGUAGUUGAAACACAAUGGUUUUCCAUGCCAUAGGUUAUGGUUAAAAUCCAUGCUAAAAUA
rnacentral:tRNA from 1 species